UCUUCCGCAAUGGACGAAAGUCUGACGGAGCAACGCCGAGGGAGUGAUGAAGGCUUUCGGGUCGUAAAACUCUGUUGUCAGGGAAGAACAAGUGCUAGUUGAAUAAGCUGGCACCUUGACGGUACCUAACCAGAAAGCCACGUCUAAAUACGUGCCAGCAGCCGCGGUAAUACGUAGGUGUCAAGCGUUAUCCGGAAUUAUUGGGCGUAAAGAGCGCGCAGGUGGUUUCUUAAGUCUGAUGUGAAAGCCCACGGCUCAACCGUGGAGGGUCAUUGGAAACUGGGAGACUUGAGUGCAGAAGAGGAAAGUGGAAUUCCAUGUGUAGCGGUGAAAUGCGUAGAGAUAUGGAGGAACACCAGUGGCGAAGGCGACUUUCUGGUCUGUAACUGACACUGAGGCGCGAAAGCGUGGGGAGCAAACGGG
rnacentral:rRNA from 1 species